rnacentral:lncRNA from 1 species
AUUUUCCUUAGGACCAUGCAAAAUAUAAUUUUAUAUUUCAUAUUCCUUAAGUUCUUUGUAUUGUAAACUUUGAUAGUGUUCCAAGCCCCUUCUUUUUAGUACUUAGCCACAGUCUUGGGAGUUAUUUGUUUACUAUCUUGUUUUCUAAACUAGAUUAGAGACUUUAUAAGGUGGAGAUUAUAUAUGUUUCUCUGUCUUUGCCUUUGCUGUGUGCCAUAUAUAAAUAUCCAAUAAAUAUCUUUGCAAAUUUACAUUUUUAUUCCAUCUGUAAUAUAUUUUAAAUAUAUGAUGACAUAAGCCCCAUUUCUUUCGAAGUACUUGACAGUUCCCACUGAAUAACCCACACCGGCGUACCCUCCAGUGCACUCAGCCCUCCAAUGCAUGAAUCCCUCCAGUGUGCUCAUCUCUCCAGUGUGCUCAGCCCUCCCGUGCACACAGCCCUCCCGUGCACACAGCCCUCCCGUGCACACAUCCCCAUCACCCCACCCUUACUUUUCUGCUUGGUACCUUCAUCACAUGAAAGUUCUUACAGCUAUUUCUGUUAGGGAAUUUCUGACUCAGCGUGCCUAUUACAGGGUGGGGGUCACACAUUGGUGAGCUGAUUUCUCAUACUUCUUUUGAACUCCCUGCGCUAUUCACAGGUGAGCUUUGCUCUCAUCUGUCAGGCCCACAAAACUACCACUGGAAUUUGAGCUACUGGUUAAUUUGAAACAGUGUCUUAAAUGUUUAAAUGGGAGUGCCUCUACAUUUCUUUAUCUUCUGUUUAAAUUCCCUUGGUUUUCAGGUAGGCUUGUUUGCUUUAACAUCUGGAGUAAUCUUCACAGGUAGCUGGGAUUUAAACGUGACCUGUUUGUAUCUUUUUCUCUUUUAAGCUUUUGUCAGAAGCGAUAAACCCAAACUGUUCAGAGGUCUACAGAUCAAGUAUGUUCGAGGCUCAGACCCUGUACUAAAGCUUUUGGACGACA